rnacentral:rRNA from 1 species
UACGUAGGGGGCAAGCGUUGUCCGGAUUUACUGGGCGUAAAGAGCGUGUAGGCGGCCACGCAGGUCCGUUGUGAAAACUGGAGGCUCAACUUCCAGCCGUCGACGGAAACCGUGUGGCUAGAGUCCGGAAGAGGAGAGUGGAAUUCCUGGUGUAGCGGUGAAAUGCGCAGAUAUCAGGAAGAACACCAAUGGCGAAGGCAGCUCUCUGGGACGGUACUGACGCUGAGACGCGAAAGCGUGGGGGAGCGAACAGG